rnacentral:rRNA from 1 species
GACGAACGCUGGCGGCGUGCUUAACACAUGCAAGUCGAACAGUGGCGAACGGGUGAGUAACACGUGAGUAACCUGCCCUCCACUUUGGGAUAACUCCGAGAAAUCGGGGAUAAUACUUGAUCGUGGGGGAUGGGCUCGCGGCCUAUCAGUUUGUUGGUGCGGUAGUGGUCACCAAGGCGUGACGGGUAGCCGGCCUGAGAGGGCGACCGGCCACACAGGGCCACAGAGACGGCCCAGACUCCUACGGGAGGCAGCAGUGGGGAAUAUUGCACAAUGGGCGGAAGCCUGAUGCAGCGACGCUGCGUGGGUGAUGACUGCCGUCGGGGUGUAAACCUCUUUCAGCAAGGAAGCGGUACUUGCAGAAGAAGCGCCGGCUAACUACGUGCCAGCAGCCGCGGUAAUUC